GUUGGCAGCAGCUGUCUAAGCAUAAAAAGCUCAGCAGGGACAGACCUGGGGAAUACUUGGAUGGGAGACCACCAGGGAAUCUCAGGGCUGAAAGCU
rnacentral:rRNA from 1 species